rnacentral:rRNA from 1 species
UACGAAGGGGGGCUAGCGUUGCUCGGAAUCACUGGGCGUAAAGGGCGCGUAGGCGGCCGAUUAAGUCGGGGGUGAAAGUCUGUGGCUCAACCACAGAAUUGCCUCGAUACUGGUUGGCUUGAGACCGGAAGAGGACAGCGGAACUGCGAGUGUAGAGGUGAAAUUCGUAGAUAUUCGCAAGAACACCAGUGGCGAAGGCGGCUGUCUGGUCCGGUUCUGACGCUGAGGCGCGAAAGCGUGGGGAGCAAACAGG